rnacentral:misc_RNA from 1 species
AAGUCGUAACAAGGUGAACCUGCGGAAGGAUCAUUAACACGUAUCCAAACGUUAAACCCCCCUGUGAACCUUCACCUGUACGUCCGUUAGAAAAAGCAGCAAUCCCUGGUAAAUCAUCGCCGCACAGUUUUCGAUUCAGGGACGUCUGCAAGGAGCGUGCAUGUUGUGCGAAGCAAGUGGCCUGGCAUCCCCAAGCAGUUAGUGUCUGAAAGUGUCAUUACCUGUGUAAGGAUGACGCAGUCACGAUCGUUGGAGGCCCACACGGCCGACGACCGGGUCGCUGGGCGCAAGCCCCCCUAUAACAAACCCCCUGCCAAUCGCGGCCGCGAUAAUACGCAGUCGACCAAAAACCGAACAACUGUUAACAAUGGAUAUCUUGGUUCUC